GACGAACGCUGGCGGCGUGCUUAACACAUGCAAGUCGAACGGAAAGGCCCUGCUUGCAGGGUGCUCGAGUGGCGAACGGGUGAGUAACACGUGGGUGAUCUGCCCCUUACUUUGGGAUAAGCCUGGGAAGCUGGGUCUAAUACUGGAUAGGACCAUGCUGUAGGUGGUGUGGUGGAAAGAUUAGUUUCGGUAAGGGAUGAGCUCGCGGCCUAUCAGCUUGUUGGUGGGGUAAUGGCCUACCAAGGCGUCGACGGGUAGCCGGCCUGAGAGGGUGGACGGCCACAUUGGGACUGAGAUACGGCCCAGACUCCUACGGGAGGCAGCAGUGGGGAAUAUUGCACAAUGGGCGCAAGCCUGAUGCAGCGACGCCGCGUGGGGGGUGACGGCCUUCGGGUUGUAAACUCCUUUCAGCCAUGACGAAGCCCUUGUGGUGACGGUAGUGGUAGAAGAAGCACCGGCUAACUACGUG
rnacentral:rRNA from 1 species